GACUGGACAGAACCUUUACCAAAAGACUCUUCACCCAUAAUCAAAGCUCUCUUAUGGUCCUGAAGUGCGCCUGCAACAAUCUCAGAAGCAGAAGCAGACCCUCUAUUCAUUAAUACAACAAUAGGAGCACCGUUAAGAAUAUCACCAGGCUUUGUUGGGAAUGAACUAUUAGAGUAUGAAGUUCUACCUUCGGUAUAAACGACAAUACCAGGCUCAUCGAUGAACAGAUUAGAUAUAUCAAUCGAAGAAUCCAAAAGCCCACCUGGAUUAUUCCUUA
rnacentral:ncRNA from 1 species